rnacentral:rRNA from 1 species
AACGAACGCUGGCGGCAGGCCUAACACAUGCAAGUCGAGCGGACCCUUCGGGGUUAGCGGCGGACGGGUGAGUAACGCGUGGGAACGUGCCCUUUGCUUCGGAAUAGCCCUGGGAAACUGGGAGUAAUACCGGAUACGCCCUUUUGGGGAAAGAUUUAUCGGCGAAGGAUCGGCCCGCGUUGGAUUAGGUAGUUGGUGGGGUAAUGGCCUACCAAGCCGACGAUCCAUAGCUGGUUUGAGAGGAUGAUCAGCCACACUGGGACUGAGACACGGCCCAGACUCCUACGGGAGGCAGCAGUGGGGAAUCUUAGACAAUGGGGGAAACCCUGAUCUAGCCAUGCCGCGUGAGCGAUGAAGGCCUUAGGGUUGUAAAGCUCUUUCACCGGGGAAGAUAAUGACGGUACCCGGAGAAGAAGCCCCGGCGAACUCCGG